rnacentral:rRNA from 1 species
CAGUAGCCGCGGUAAUACGUAGGUGGCAAGCGUUGUCCGGAAUUAUUGGGCGUAAAGCGCGCGUAGGUGGUUUGUUAAGUUGGAUGUGAAAUCCCCGGGCUCAACCUGGGAACUGCAUCCAAAACUGGCAGGCUAGAGUAGGGCAGAGGGUGGUGGAAUUUCCUGUGUAGCGGUGAAAUGCGUAGAUAUAGGAAGGAACACCAGUGGCGAAGGCGACCACCUGGGCUCAUACUGACACUGAGGUGCGAAAGCGUGGGGAGCAAACAGGAUUAGAUACCCCCGUAGUCCCUGUCUCUUAUAA